rnacentral:rRNA from 1 species
UACGUAGGGGGCUAGCGUUGUCCGGAAUCAUUGGGCGUAAAGAGCGUGUAGGCGGCCCGAUAAGUCCGCCGUGAAAGUCCAGGGCUCAACCCUGGAAUGCCGGUGGAAACUGUCGGGCUGGAGUCCGGAAGAGGCGAGUGGAAUUCCUGGUGUAGCGGCGAAAUGCGCAGAUAUCAGGAGGAACACCAAUGGCGAAGGCAGCUCGCUGGGACGGUACUGACGCUGAGACGCGAAAGCGUGGGGAGCAAACAGG